rnacentral:rRNA from 1 species
CCUACGGGGGGCAGCAGUGAGGAAUAUUGGUCAAUGAACGAGAGUCUGAACCAGCCAAGUAGCGUGAAGGAUGACUGCCCUAUGGGUUGUAAACUUCUUUUAUAUGGGAAUAAAACGUUCCACGUGUGGGAUUUUGUAUGUACCAUAUGAAUAAGGAUCGGCUAACUCCGUGCCAGCAGCCGCGGUAAUACGGAGGAUCCGAGCGUUAUCCGGAUUUAUUGGGUUUAAAGGGAGCGUAGGUGGAUUGUUAAGUCAGUUGUGAAAGUUUGCGGCUCAACCGUAAAAUUGCAGUUGAAACUGGCAGUCUUGAGUACAGUAGAGGUGGGCGGAAUUCGGGGUGUAGCGGUGAAAUGCUUAGAUAUCACGAAGAACUCCGAUUGCGAAGGCAGUUCACUGGACUGCAACUGACACUGAGGCUCGAAAGUGUGGGUAUCAAACAGGAUUAGAUACCCUUGUAGUC